CCCUUAGAUGUCCUGGGCUGCACGCGCGCUACACUGAUGUGUCCAGUAAGCACCUAACCUAUUCCGAGGGGAGCGGGUAACCUUAGCAAAGCACAUCGUGAUGGGGAUAGAUUAUUGCAAUUAUUAGUCUUGAACGAGGAAUUCCUAGUAAGCACAAGUCAUCAGCUUGUGUUGAUUACGUCCCUGCCCUUUGUACACACCGCCCGUCGCUCCUACCGAUUGAAUGUUCCGGUGAGCUCUUCGGACUGCGCGGUCUGCAGUUUCUGCGUUCCGUGCGGAAAGUUGUGCAAACCUUAACAUUUAGAGGAAGGAGAAGUCGUAACA
rnacentral:rRNA from 1 species